UGUAGGAGCGAGCUUGCUCGCGAUGGAGUGUCAGACACAUCGAUUUCGACUGAAAUUCCAUCGCGAGCAAGCUCGCUCCUACA
rnacentral:misc_RNA from 1 species